rnacentral:lncRNA from 1 species
UAGUAGUUUAUGGUUGUUGCUCCACAUGGGAGUGCUUGUUGAUGGAUCUCAUGAGUAUUUUCUAUCCUUUAGAUAUUUUUGGCUUUUUCUUGCUUGUACAUUCAAGGACAAACGUGAAUCUUACUGGUGGAUACUAUAAUGGCCCUCAUUGUGAUUUUAGAAUUUAUAUGUUUUUACCAUUUUCCCCUCCUCGUGGUUGUAUUAUUUGAUUUAUGAGUUGUGGGGAUGGUUGUACGGUUCCUAAUAAAUUUGGUAGUGUGUUAUUGGAGCUUACAAUUUUGAGUAUCUUUGAAAAGAUAAGUUUGACUUUGGUCAACAUUUGCUCAGA